rnacentral:rRNA from 1 species
AACGAACGCCGGCGGCAGGCCUAACACAUGCAAGUCGAACGCUCCGCAAGGAGAGUGGCAGACGGGUGAGUAACACGUGGGAAUCUUCCUAUCGGUACGGAAUAGCUCAGGGAAACUUGAGGUAAUACCGCAUACGCCCUUCGGGGGAAAGAUUUAUCGCCGAUAGAUGAGCCCGCGUCUGAUUAGCUAGUUGGUGGGGUAAUGGCCCACCAAGGCGACGAUCAGUAGCUGGUCUGAGAGGAUGACCAGCCACACGGGGACUGAGACACGGCCCAGACUCCUACGGGAGGCAGCAGUGGGGAAUAUUGGACAAUGGGCGCAAGCCUGAUCAAGCCAUGCCGCGUGAGUGACGAAGGUCUUCGGAUUGUAAAGCUCUUUUGCCAGGGACGAUAAUGACGGUACCUGGAGAAUAAGCCCCGGCUAACUUCGUGCCAGCCGCCGCCGUAAAAC